CAGUGCGGAUUCUCCCAGUCACUCCCAGCUCUUGUUGCCCAGCCUCUCGUUUGCCCGUUGCGGACUCUCAAGGAGGUGAAGUUCGUUCCUUAUUAUUUGAUUGGGCUUCAUCAGAAGCCACUGAUGAGGAAGUAUAAUCGGUGAAAAGGUCAAAGGUGAAAGGUCAGGAUGACGACAGUGGCCGCGGAAUAUGAGCACAUGGAGAUCACGCAGCAGUACAGCAGCAGUGACACGGUCAACAACCGCUGGGAUGAUGAGUGGGACAACGAGAACAGCUCAGCUCGCCUGUUCGAGCGUUCGCGCAUCAAGGCCCUGGCAGAUGAGCGCGAAGCGGUGCAGAAGAAGACCUUCACCAAAUGGGUGAACUCUCACCUCUCCCGGGUGUCCUGCCGCAUCACCGACCUGUACAGGGACCUGAGUGAUGGACGCAUGCUCAUCAAACUGCUGGAGGUGCUGUCUGGGGAGAGACUGCCCAAGCCCACCAGGGGACGGAUGCGUAUCCACUGCCUGGAGAACGUGGACAAGGCUCUGCAGUUCCUCAAGGAGCAGAGGGUCCACCUGGAAAACAUGGGCUCACACGACAUCGUUGACGGCAACCACCGCCUCACCCUGGGGCUCAUCUGGACCAUCAUUCUAAGGUUCCAGAUCCAGGACAUCAGUGUUGAGACUGAUGGAGACAACAAGGAGAAGAGAUCAGCCAAGGAUGCCCUGCUCCUCUGGUGCCAGAUGAAGACUGCUGGCUAUCCAAACGUGAACAUUCACAAUUUCAGCACCAGUUGGCGAGACGGCAUGGCUUUCAAUGCCCUCAUCCAUAAGCACAGGCCAGACCUGAUUGACUUUGACAAGCUGAAAAAGUCCAAUGCCCACCACAACCUGCAGAAUGCCUUCAAUCUGGCUGAGCAGCAUCUUGGGCUUACCAAGCUCCUAGACCCAGAGGAUAUCAGUGUGGACCACCCCGAUGAGAAGUCGGUCAUCACAUACGUGGUGACGUACUACCACUACUUCUCCAAAAUGAAGGCGCUGAAAGUGGAGGGGAAACGUAUUGGGAAGGUACUGGACAAUGCCAUUGAGACAGAGAAGAUGGUUGAGAAGUACGAGUCUCUGGCCUCAGACCUGCUGGAGUGGAUCGAGCAGACCAUCAUCAUCCUCAACAAUCGCAAGUUUGCCAACUCUUUAAACGGGUGCAGCAGCAGCUUCAAGCCUUCAACACAUAUCGCACGGUCGAGAAACCCCCUAAGUUUACUGAGAAGGGCAACCUGGAGGUGCUUCUGUUUACCAUCCAGAGCAAGAUGAGGGCCAACAAUCAGAAAGUCUACAUGCCCAGGGAGGGCAAACUCAUCUCUGACAUUAACAAGACCUGGGAGAGACUGGAGAAGGCGGAGCAUGAGCGGGAGCUGGCUCUGAGGACAGAGCUGAUUCGACAGGAGAAACUGGAGCAGCUGGCUCGCCGCUUUGACCGCAAGGCUGCCAUGAGGGAGACCUGGCUGAGUGAGAACCAGCGCCUCGUCUCACAGGACAACUUUGGCUUCGACCUUCCGGCGGUGGACGCGGCCACCAAGAAGCAUGAGGCCAUCGAGACGGAUAUUACGGCGUACGAGGAGCGUGUGCAGGCCGUGGUGUCUGUUGCUAAGGAGCUGGAGGCAGAGAAGUACCACGACAUCAAACGCAUCACAGCGCGCAAGGACAACGUGAUCCGGCUGUGGGAGUACCUGCUGGAGCUUCUGAAGGCGAGGCGCCAGCGCCUGGAGAUGAAUCUGGGUCUGCAGAGGGUCUUCCAGGAGAUGCUUUACAUCAUGGACUGGAUGGACGAGAUGAAGAUGAUGCUGCUGUCCCAGGACUAUGGGAAGCAUCUGCUCGGAGUGGAGGAUCUCCUGCAGAAACAUGCCCUGGUAGAGGCCGACAUCGGCAUCCAGGCUGACCGUGUCAAAGCUGUCAACAACAAUGCCCAGAAAUUCGCAAUCGACGGCGACGUUUACAAGCCCUGUGACCCUCAGGUAAUACGCGACCGCGUGGCCCACAUGGAGUUCUGCUACCAGGAGCUGACCCAGCUGGCUGCCGAGCGCCGGGCCCGCCUGGAGGAGUCCCGCCGUCUCUGGAAGUUCUUCUGGGAGAUGGCCGAGGAGGAGGGAUGGAUCCGUGAGAAGGAGCAGAUCCUGUCGUCGGACGAGAGCGGCAAGGACCUGACGGGGGCUGUGCGCCUGUUAAGCAAGCACCGCACCCUGGAGGACGAGAUGAAUGGCCGUGCCGGUCACCUGCAGCACACCAUCGCCGAGGGCCAGGCCAUGGCCGACGGUGGCCACUUCGGCGCCGCCAAGAUCCGCGACCGCAUCGCCGACCUGCGGGCGCAGUGGGCAGCAUUGGAGGAGCUGGCGGGCGUGAGGAAGGCCCAUCUGGAGGAAGCGUGUGCCCUGCACCAGUUCCAGGCGGACGCAGACGAUGCCGAUGCCUGGACCCUGGAUGCCCUGCGCAUCGUGUCCAGCAGCGAGGUGGGCCAUGACGAGUUCUCCACACAGGCCCUGGUGCGCAAGCACAAGGACGCCGCCGCCGAGGUGGCCAGCUAUCGGCCGGUGAUCGAUGCGCUCCAUGAGCAGGCGGCCGCCUUGCCUGAGGAGCAGGCUCAGUCGGAAGAGGUCAAGGGCCGCCUGGCAGGCAUAGAGGAGCGCUACAAGGAGGUGGCCGAGCUGACCCGGCUGAGAAAGCAGGCACUGCAGGAUGCCCUGGCCCUCUACAAGAUGUUCAGCGAGGCGGACGCCUGCGAGGUGUGGAUUGAUGAGAAGGAUCAGUGGCUCAACAGCAUGGAGAUCCCAGAGAAGCUAGAAGACCUAGAGGUCAUUCAGCACAGGUUCGAGAGCCUGGAGCCUGAGAUGAACAACCAGGCGUCACGCGUCGCUGUCGUGAACCAGAUCGCCAGGCAGCUGAUGCACAACGGACACCCCAGUGAGAAGGACAUAAAAGCCCAGCAAGAUAAGCUCAAUAACAGAUGGAGCCAGUUCCGGGAUCUGGCGGACCAGAAGAAGGAGUCUCUAAUCUCCGCGCUGGGUGUGCAGAACUACCACCUGGACUGCAACGAAACCAAGUCGUGGAUCCGCGAGAAGACAAAGGUCAUUGAGUCCACCCAGGAGCUGGGCAACGACCUGACGGGUGUCAUGGCGCUGCAGCGCAAACUCACUGGCAUGGAGCGUGACCUGGCUGCCAUCGAGGACAAGCUGGGCGACCUGCGCGGCGAGGCUGAGCGGCUGGCCGGCGAGCACCCAGACCAGGCCAAGGCCAUCACGGGCCGCCUGGCCGAGAUCACCGCUGUGUGGGAGGAGAUGAAGGCCACACUGCGUAACCGCGAAGAGUCCCUUGGCGAGGCCAGCAAACUGCAGCAGUUCCUGCGCGAACUGGAUGACUUCCAGUCGUGGCUGUCGCGCACACAGACAGCCAUCGCCUCGGAGGAGACGCCCAACACGCUGGCUGAGGCAGAGAAGCUGCUAGCACAGCACGAUGGCAUCAAAAACGAGAUCUGCAACUACGAGGAGGACUACCAGAAGAUGCGCGACAUGGGCGAGAUGGUGACCCAGGGUCAGACCGAUGCCCAGUACAUGUUCCUGAGGCAGCGGCUACAGGCACUGGACACGGGCUGGAACGAGCUGCACAAGAUGUGGGAGAACCGGCAGAACCUGCUGUCACAGUCCCACGCCUACCAGCUGUUUCUCAGGGACACCAAGCAGGCCGAGGUCUUCCUCAACAACCAGGAGUACAUGCUGGCCCAUACAGAGAUGCCCACUACGCUUGAGGGGGCCGAAGGAGCCAUCAAGAAGCAGGAGGACUUCAUGACCACCAUGGACGCCAACGAAGAGAAGAUAAAUGGCGUGGUGGAGGCUGGCAGGCGGCUGGCGAGCGACGGCAACAUCAACGCCGACCGCAUCCAGGAGAGAGCGGCGUCUAUUGACGACAGGCAUAAGAAGAACCGCGAGGCUGCUGUGGAGCUACUGAUGAGGCUGAAGGAUAACCGGGACCUUCAAAAGUUCCUACAGGAUUGCCAGGAGCUGUCUCUGUGGAUCAAUGAGAAGAUGCUCACGGCCCAGGACAUGUCGUACGACGAGGCCAGGAACCUCCACAGCAAAUGGCUCAAGCAUCAGGCCUUCAUGGCCGAGUUGCAGUCCAACAAGGAGUGGCUGGACAAGAUUGAGAAGGAUGGGAUGCAGCUGGUGUUGGAGAAGCCUGAGACAGAGUCUGUGGUCAAGGAGAAGCUCUCAGCCCUCCAGAAGAUGUGGGAAGAGUUGGAGUCCACCACCCAGACCAAGGCCCAGUGCCUGUUUGACGCCAACAAAGCCGAGCUGUUUACACAGAGCUGUGCCGACCUGGACAAGUGGCUGGGUGGCCUGGAGGGCCAGAUUCAAUCGGACGACUACGGCAAAGACCUGACCAGCGUCAACAUCCUGCUCAAGAAGCAGCAGAUAUUGGAAAACCAGGUGGAGGUCCGUCAGAGGGAGGUGGUGGAGCUGCAGAGCCAGGCGCUGGUCCUCAGCCAGGAAGGGAAGGACACAGGGGAGGUGGAUGGCCAGAGACAAAUGGUGGAGCACAAGUUCAAAGAGCUGCUGGACCCGCUGAGGAAGAGAAAGAACUUCCUGGUGGCCUCCCGCGAGAUCCACCAGUUCAACCGCGAUGUGGAGGACGAGAUUCUUUGGGUCGAAGAGAGGAUGCCAAUUGCAACCUCCACGGAUCAUGGUCACAACCUGCAGACCGUUCAACUGCUUAUCAAGAAAAAUCAGACCUUGCAGAAGGAGAUCCAGGGACACCAGCCCCGCUUCGAUGACAUUUUCGAGCGGAGCGAGAGCCUGCUGAUGGAGGAAAGCCUUGCCGUGGAGGCCAUGCGCCAGCGCCUGGCCGACUUGCAACAGCUGUGGGGCCUGAUGAUUGAGGAGACGGAGAAGCGUCACGUCCGACUGGAGGAGGCCCACAAUGCACAGAAGUACUACUUUGAUGCCGCUGAGGCUGAGGCCUGGAUGAGCGAGCAGGAGUUGUACAUGAUGUCUGAGGAGAAGGCCAAGGAUGAGCAGAGCUCCGUAGCCAUGCUGAAGAAGCACCAGAUUGUGGAGCAGUCGGUGGAGGACUACGCUGAGACAGUCCAUCAGCUCUCCAAGACCAGCAGAGGCCUGACAGCUGCAGGACAUCCAGAGAGUGAGAGGAUAGGCAUGCGUCAGUCUCAGGUGGACAAGCUCUAUGCCGGCAUGAAGGACCUGUCUGAGGAGAGGCGGGGCAAACUGGAUGAGCGGUUCCGCCUGUUCCAGCUCAACCGCGAGGUUGACGACUUGGAGCAGUGGAUUGCCGAGCGGGAGGUGGUGGCCGGAUCUCACGAGCUGGGACAGGACUAUGAGCAUGUCACCAUGCUCCAGGAGCGCUUCCGGGAGUUUGCACGCGACACAGGCAAUAUCGGCCAGGAGCGUGUGGAUGCCGUCAACCGCCUGGCCGAUGAGCUGAUAAAUGCGGGCCACGCAGAUGCCGCCACGGUGGCCGAGUGGAAGGAUGGACUCAACGAGGCCUGGGCUGACCUGCUGGAACUUAUCGACACGCGCACGCAGAUCCUGGCCGCCUCCUACGAGCUGCACAAGUUCUACCAUGACGCCAAGGAGAUCCUGAGCCGCAUCCUGGACAAACACAAGAAACUUCCAGAGGAGGUGGGACGUGACCAGAACACAGUGGAGACACUGCAGAGGAUGCACACCACCUUCGAGCAUGACAUCCAGGCCCUGGGAACACAGGUGAGGCAGCUGCAGGAGGAUGCCGUCCGCCUCCAGUCGGCCUACGCCGGCGACAAGGCAGACGACAUCCAGCGGAGGGAGAGUGAGGUGCUGGAGGCCUGGAAUACCCUGCUGGAGGCCUGCGAUGGCCGCAGGGUCCACCUCCUGGACACGGGCGACAAAUUCCGCUUCUUCAGCAUGGUGCGCGACCUCAUGCUGUGGAUGGAGGACGUCAUCCGUCUCAUCGAAGCCCAGGAGAAUCCAAGGGACGUGUCCUCGGUGGAGUUGUUGAUGAACAACCACCAGGGUAUCAAGGCUGAGAUCGACGCCCGCAAUGACAGCUUCACCGCCUGCAUUGAGUUGGGCAAGUCUCUGCUAGCCAGAAAGCACUAUGCAUCAGAGGAGAUCAAAGAUAAGUUACUACAGCUGAUGGACAAAAGGAAAGACAUGAUUGACAAGUGGGAGGACCGACGGGAGUGGUUAAGACUGAUUUUGGAAGUUCACCAGUUUGGGAGGGAUGCAGGGGUGGCAGAGGCGUGGCUGCUGGGACAGGAACCAUACCUAUUCGGCCGGGAGUUGGGGCAGAGCGUGGACGAGGUGGAGAAACUGAUCAAGAGGCACGAGGCAUUCGAGAAGUCGGCCGCCACUUGGGAGGAGCGCUUCUCAGCACUGGAGAGGUUGACUACGUUGGAGUUAUUGGAAGUGAGAAGACAGCAAGAGGAAGAAGAAAGAAUGCGAAAACCCCCUUCGCCAGAGCCUUUACCGGAGCAAGACUCACCACUGCAGAGUGGAGUAGAAAACGGACUGCAGAAUGGACUGCCCUCAGACCAGGAUUCUCCACAGAAUGGUGUGGACAGAGUUGAGAUCAUGAAUGGAGUGGCGGAGCAGAACUCAAAGGACCCGAGCCCCAUUCCCUCACCCACAGCCAGCCGGCGGGGCAAGGGCAGCCUGUCCUCCACAUUGCCGACCCAGAACCAGGAUUUGCCUGCAGCUCAGCUGGAGGGCUUCCUGCAUCGCAAGCAUGAGUGGGAGGGUCACAACAAGAAGGCCUCAAGCAGAUCCUGGCAUAACGUGUACUGCGUUAUCAACAAUCAGGAAAUGGGCUUCUACAAAGACAACAAGGCUGCUGGUCAAGGCAUCCCCUACCACAAUGCGAUUCCGAUCAGUCUAAUGGGGGCUGUGUGUGAUGUGGCCAUGGAUUACAAAAAAAAGAAACAUGUCUUCAAACUCAGAGUUACGGAUGGAAAUGAGUAUCUCUUCCAAGCCAAAGAAGAAGAGGAGAUGAGCACAUGGAUCCAGGCCAUUCUGAAUGCGGGGACACCUGACAAGGUAUCGAUUACGCCCAGCAACCAGAGUACUCCGGCGUCAAGCCGAGCCCAGACCCUGCCCGCCACCGUCACCCUCACCAGCGAAUCCAGCCCGGGCAAGCGGGAGAAAGACAAGGAGAAGGACAAGGAGAAGCGAUUCAGCCUGUUCGGCAAGAAAAAACUAUAAAGUUUCUCAGCAAUGACGACUUUCAGUUUUUUAUUAGUGCAGUAUUUUUUUUUCUUUACUUUAAAUUUUUGUUGUUGUCUGCCAAGCCACAAUGAUACUCCAGCUCAACUACACAACAUGCUGUGCCUAAUGAUCCUUGAUUUGGGUAAAACGAUUGAUGAGACUUGAAAUACAAAUACAAGUAAAAUAAACAUUUGUACUUUGUUAGAGUGUCAAGGUGUAUGGGGCAGGUUUUAUCAUGAAAUUUAUUUGGUAAUAUCAUGAGGACCAUUUUUUUUUAAAGUUAAUUCUUUACUUGUAAAAAUGUGUUUUGUGUGUUUUUGUGCUUUUUCCUUGUCAUUGUGUUUUGUUAAAAUGGGUCUGAGUAUUUAAACGUUUCCUCAAUUUUGUGAGGGUGUCUACAAGAGGCAGGCCUACAUUCUCUUUUUGCUGUCGGAAAGGGAGACAACAUUGCUUCAAAAUAAUUCAGUUUUGUGACUGCACAUACACAUAUUGAAUAAAAAAUGUAAUGCAACUUUUCAACAUAAUUUACUAUGAUUCCUACUUGAGUUUAAAUUGAAAACAAACAACCUCGAGAAAAUAUCAGGCUCCAAAAGGGCAUAGUUAGCCAGUAUUAUCAGUAAGCGCAUGCCUUUUUAGGUCAAGAAAAGCCUAAUAAUACACCUGUAAUUGAAAUGAUUUCCUCAUGGAAUAAUGUUUUAUAUAUAUGAUGGACCAGUAAUUCUUUUUACAUGUUUUUCCUUUGUUUACUUUUGUCCCUCUUGAGUUGCAUCAUAAUAUAUGUUUCCAAAUAGUUAUAGUUGGCUACAGAUUAUAAAAUCAGUAUGUAUAAUAAACAUUUUAAGCAUUGAUGUUAAAUGGAAAUGUGGAAAUUCAGCAUUUACUGCAAAAAAAGGUUGCUUGCUUGUUGCUCUAGCACUGCACAUUAUAAUUUUGUUACGUUAUCCUGCUAAUUGAUACAUAGCGUGCAUUUCUUUGUCACUGUAUCUAUUGUAUUGAGAAAAAAAAUCUUACUGCACAAUCAGAAAUUAUGUAAUAGGAAUGAAAUUCUUUGCAAUGCCUGGGUCUUUGGGCAUAUAUAGAACAUUGACCUGGCUUUCUGAUGUAUGAAACUGUACCUGUAGUCUUUUUUUUCUCUCUCUCUCUCAAAUAUGUGCGAUGUCAUUAAAAUGCUAUUAAACAUUA